AUUGAACGCUGGCGGCAGGCCUAACACAUGCAAGUCGAGCGGAUGAAGGGAGCUUGCUCCUGGAUUCAGCGGCGGACGGGUGAGUAAUGCCUAGGAAUCUGCCUGGUAGUGGGGGAUAACGUCCGGAAACGGGCGCUAAUACCGCAUACGUCCUGAGGGAGAAAGUGGGGGAUCUUCGGACCUCACGCUAUCAGAUGAGCCUAGGUCGGAUUAGCUAGUUGGUGGGGUAAAGGCCUACCAAGGCGACGAUCCGUAACUGGUCUGAGAGGAUGAUCAGUCACACUGGAACUGAGACACGGUCCAGACUCCUACGGGAGGCAGCAGUGGGGAAUAUUGGACAAUGGGCGAAAGCCUGAUCCAGCCAUGCCGCGUGUGUGAAGAAGGUCUUCGGAUUGUAAAGCACUUUAAGUUGGGAGGAAGGGCAGUAAGUUAAUACCUUGCUGUUUUAACGUUACCAACAGAAUAAGCACCGGCUGACUUCGUG
rnacentral:rRNA from 1 species